rnacentral:rRNA from 1 species
AAUAUUGGGCAAUGGGGCCAAACCUAUUCCACAAUUGCCGGGUACAGGAAGACACCCCUAUGGGUUAAAACUUUCAGUAGCAAGAAGAAUAAGAGGUUUGUAUACGGGGAUGACGAUAUUAUAAACAUAAGAAGCUGCGAAUAACUCGGCACCAGCAGCGGUAAUAAGAAGGGUGCGAGAUUAUCAAUAGGAAUUGGGGGCGAGAUCCGCAGGCGCCAAUUAAAACAGGGGUGAGAAAGUGCAGGUCUAACCCAGGAAUGCCCAUGAUAUUGGUCAUCCUUAGAUUUGGGUGAGUGGCAGGAAUAUUCCGGUAUAGGGGAAAAGCAUAGAUAUUCGGAGAACACCCAGGCGAAGGCAGGUCUCUAACCACAUACUGACGGGAUGGAGGAAAGGGUUGGGGGGCAACAAGAUUAAAUACCCUUGUUAGUCACCCCCUA